UACGAAGGGGGGCUAGCGUUGCUCGGAAUCACUGGGCGUAAAGGGUGCGUAGGCGGGUCUUUAAGUCAGGGGUGAAAUCCUGGAGCUCAACUCCAGAACUGCCUUUGAUACUGAGGAUCUUGAGUUCGGGAGAGGUGAGUGGAACUGCGAGUGUAGAGGUGAAAUUCGUAGAUAUUCGCAAGAACACCAGUGGCGAAGGCGGCUCUCUGGACCGUAACUGACGCUGAGGCGCGAAAGCGUGGGGAGCAAACAGG
rnacentral:rRNA from 1 species